rnacentral:lncRNA from 1 species
UCGAUUACAAGUUACUCUAGAUAGAUACAACCAUUGUUCGGACUCAGUAAAUCUUAAUAUCAAAAAGUUAUAUGUCAUUCCCCUACUCCAAGAGGCAUCGAAGCCCUCAAGAACCAUUCGACAAUCUGCUUGCAAUGGUUCUUCAAGAAAAUCUCCACCCCAAGAAUGUAAAUCUUCUGAUAACUUACUUAUAAUAGUUAAAAGAUCCAGAUUUACUCUAAUCAAUUAGGAUACCUCAGAUCUUUCAGAUAUUGCAUCCGAAGAUUAGUAUACAAAAGGAGAAGCGUAAGUGCUCUUCAAUCAAAUCACCCAACUCUAAUCGAUCUACUGGUUUUGAAUCCCCUCAUCUAACCAAGUGUAUAGUUUGAGAGGAACAGCUUGCUGGUUCUCCCACUCAUAAGUCAUCUUUUAGCUUUGGUUCUUUAACCCUAGUUCCUUAUGCCGACUGGAUGGAUCAUCUAAUGAUACCUCUUUAUUUAAUGCUAUAGCCCGUGUGGCUAGAUCUGUUGCUUUUAUUUAAUUAUCUACUUCUUUCUUAUCUUUAAAUCAGUUGCAUGUCUUCUAUUGCUGAUUCUAUCGCAUCUUCUUCAUCAUUCUCAAAAUCCAACAUCCGAUAAAAUUUUUCAAUCUCAUGACUCUUUUUUUAAUAAAUUACAAUAUGUCAUGGAGUCUCGUGGUC